rnacentral:rRNA from 1 species
GAGGAAGUCGCGGCUGAUUAGCUAGUUGGCGGGGUAAUGGCCCACCAAGGCUUAGAUCGGUAGCCGGCCUGAGAGGGCGCACGGCCACACUGGAACUGAAACACGGUCCAGACUCCUACGGGAGGCAGCAGUGGUGAAUUUUGCGCAAUGGGGGAAACCCUGACGCAGCAACGCCGCGUGGAGGAUGAAGUCCCUUGGGAUGUAAACUCCUUUCGACCAAGACGAUAAUGACGGUACUGGUGGAAGAAGCACCGGCUAACUCUGUGCCAGCAGCCGCGGUAAUACAGAGGGUGCGAGCGUUGUUCGGAAUUAUUGGGCGUAAAGGGCGCGUAGGCGGUGCGGUAAGUCACCUGUGAAAUCUCUUGGCUCAACUGGGAGCUUGCAGGCGAAACUGCCGUGCUAGAGUGUGGGAGAGGUGCGUGGAAUUCCCGGUGUAGCGGUGAAAUGCGUAGAUAUCGGGAGG